CGCUCUCCGAUCUCGCGUCUGUUUCUCUUUCUCUCUCUCUCUCUUCCUCUCUCCCUCUCUCUUGCGCUGUCCCUCAUUCACUCACUCUUCCAUCUUUUUGCCAUUGUGCCAGCUCAAUUUAAAUGUAUCUGCUCUGUAUCUGUUCAAGAGGAGCUAAUCCACGCAAAUCAGGAGCAGUGCCUUUCAGUGUUUGGUUCACAGAGAGGACUCAGCUUGCGGAGGUCACUCGUUCACUGCCGCUCCUCCCAUUAUAUUUCUCCCCCUUAUUGCCGAACUGCUGUAUGUAUACAGUGACUGAAAGGACUCAAUUUACUGCAACUGCUGCCUGGCUUUACUUACAACUUUUUGUUAUAAAGGAACUUACCUCCAUCUGUCUUUUCAAGAACGGAAAGGGUCCUCUUUGCUCCUGAAGACGGUAAAUCACCGGCUGCGUGGUGGUUCUCAGAAGACACUUAAAGGGCUGAGUUGGAUGCUCUCCAUAGCACCCUUGCCAAAAGAGUUCGGAAAUGACUUCCAGCUUCCCACAGUCAUAAAAUGGCACAGUUUGGCAUCUUUAAGGUAAUAAAAGUGAACUUUCCCCCCCAUUCCAGUAAAUGAGAAGAGAAGCCUGGUUGUUUCAAAAACUGAUUAAAAUGCAUAUGUCUCCCUCCCAUUCCAGAGCGUGAUACCAGCACGCUCAGGCGCGCUGCAGGCCACCUGGAACCGCAUCCUUCACGCAGCUCUCGGGUGGAGGAUGUGCGGGAGGGCGGCUGGGAGGGCCGACAGGUGGCGCUCUUCCCUCUGACUCUGUCACAGCGAAUUCCAAAUGCGCCCCUUGCUGAAAUGACCUUGCUUGAAGGAAAUGUCUUAGAGUUCAUCUGUGUUCCUGGCCCUGUUAAACAGCUGCUGAGUUUAAUCUCAAACUCUGGCUGUAUUUGGAUGAUAGGGUAAAAAAAAAAAAAAAAUCUAAAAAACAGGUUUCAUGUCUUUAAGGAUACUACUUAUACACAGCAUUAUCAUCAUUUGCCCACAAGACUUUAAAGUUAGGUUUGACUCUCCUCUGGACUGAGAGGGAAAUCUUUUGUCAUUCCCGUUUGACUCAUAGAGUCUAGGAGGAAAUUUGAUCAUCUUCCAUUUCCCAUCUGAUUAUUCAUAAAGCACCUGCGCCUCUGUUAUUUCUCCUAGACUACACAAUCCUAUAAGCGACAACAAACAUUUUACACAGGAAGAACACCUUUCAGGAAAGGCAUCUGAGCCUUAGAAACUUGUCCACCACACACACAGAGACAUAGCUUUCUGUACUUUAUUUCCAUGGUACUAGAAGUGGAAAUAAUUGUUUUAACCAGAAAAGAUAGGACUGAUACUUUUUACAUACAGUCCUACUCACAUUUGUCUUUGUUUAGAUCCUGCAAUUAGAAGGCUAUUACAAACAAAUUAGUAGUAUCGGGGAAGAAUUUUUAAUGACUUUGUGGAUUUCAGCUAUUGCCAAAUACCUUCAUCUACUCAUCACAUCCUUAAUUAAGGGACACCAGUGUGUGCCUGUGUGUAAUCUCUUUGUUAAAAUUAUGCAAUCGUGGCCUCAGUA
rnacentral:lncRNA from 1 species